rnacentral:lncRNA from 1 species
CUCAGCUCACUGUAACUUCUGCCUCCUGGGUUCAAGCGAUUCUCAUGCCUCAGCCUCCUGAGUAGCUGGGAUUACAGAAAUCAUGAGUGGAGGAUCUCAAGUCCACAUUUUUUGGGGUGCUCCAAUUGCUCCACUGAAAAUCACAGUAUCAGAAGACACAGCUUCUUUAAUGUCUGUUGCUGACCCCUGGAAAAAAAUUCAGCUUUUAUACAGUCAACAUUCUUUAUAUCUGAAGGAUGAAAAACAGCACAAAAAUCUUGAAAACUAUAAAGUCCCAGAAUCUAUUGGUUCUCCAGAUCUUAGUGGUCAUUUCUUAGCAAACUGUAUGAAUAGACAUGUUCAUGUGAAAGAUGACUUUGUAC